GUCGAUAUUGAGAUGACACUACACGGAAAAAUGUAAUUAUUCCCAAAAUAAUAAAUUGUAGAAAACAUUGCUGCAUUUGGCGUCUAAAAUGGUAUAUGGAUAUCGUCGCCUAGCACACAAUACCGAGAAGCCUAAAAUUAGUCGAGUUUAUGGUUCCAUUGAGCAAGAAGAAACGUUCUAACAAGGUAGCAGGGCUGUAAAUCUGAAAAUCCGGGAAUCGUAAAACCCGGGAAGAACUGAAAAUCAAACCGUGAAGCCAGAACAGUCUAAAAUUGGAGCCUAUUGAAUGGGAGUGUAACGAUAUGGCUCUUUGGCUCUUUUGCAGAUAAGGCUGCUUAAUCUGAUAGUGAAAUAAAAUCCACGUUCGAAUUUAAACUAAGAGAGUUGACGAUGGUGUCCCGAAUC